AUUGAACGCUGGCGGCAUGCUUUACACAUGCAAGUCGAACGCCCGUAGCAAUACGGGAGUGGCGGACGGGUGAGUAACGCGUGGGAACGUACCCUGAGGUACGGAAUAACCGAGGGAAACUUCGGCUAAUACCGUAUGAGCCCCGCAAGGGGGGAAAGAUUUUAUCGCCUUGGGAGCGGCCCGCGUCGGAUUAGCUAGUUGGUGGGGUAACGGCCUACCAAGGCUUCGAUCCGUAGCUGGUCUGAGAGGACGAUCAGCCACACUGGGACUGAGACACGGCCCAGACUCCUACGGGAGGCAGCAGUAGGGAAUCUUGCGCAAUGGGGGCAACCCUGACGCAGCCAUGCCGCGUGAACGAUGAAGGCCUUAGGGUUGUAAAGUUCUUUUACCCGUGACGAUGAUGACGGUAACGGGGGAAUAAGCCCCGGCUAACUACGUG
rnacentral:rRNA from 1 species